AGCUGAAGCCUCCGAUCGGUUUCCCCGCCCUUCUGUAGGAAAUCAAAUUCAGGGAACAUGUUUCAACCUCAGAGCUUACUUUUUGGCCAAACGGAUGAAGGGGUAAGCCACCGUGGAAGUCCCAGCAGAUACCCCCACCAUCGCCCCAUCCAUCCUGGGAGGUUCGGUGGCCCUCGAGGCAGAGACAUGGACUGUGGCUGGGGUAUUGGGGGCAGAUGUUCAAUGUGUUGGGGUGUGGAGAGGGUAGAUUGGCAGCCUACUGAGGAUUAAAGGGGUGUCCUGCAAACCAGCUCCGGGGUCUGGGUCCGGACCUUCCAGGGACUCAGUUCCGCACCCUUUGAACAGAUCAAGACAGAGCACUUCCUUGCUCUGGGAUGGUCGCCUCAGCCACCGAGACAGCAGAAGUCGUUGAAUUCAAAGCAGAAUAAAGGGGUGCG
rnacentral:lncRNA from 1 species